GUCAGUCCUUACACUAGCUUCCUGCAUCCUACAGGAGUCAAUUCAAAAUACUAACCCUUCCGUAAAAAGCACUGAACAACUCUAGCCAGUUAAAUUUCUUCACUGAUUCAUAGGUACGCCCCUUCUCGGUCCCUCCACUCGGCUGAUGACCUUCUCUCGGCUGCUGCUCGCACCCAUACUGCAAUCUCACACUUCCUUUGAAACAACCUGCCUACACCAGUCAGACUCUCCCCUAAUCUUCAAUUGUUUAAGAAUUGCCUUAAAAGCCAUCUCUUUAGUAAAGCUUAUGGCCUCCCAGAGUAACCUCUACCUCACAUACCUGUCUCUUGCUCUCUCCUAAAGGGCAGCACUCUACUCUCUCCUCCAGCUCUGCUUCAC